CUACGGCGAUCGCACUUUUUUUUAACCAUUUUUUAACCGCUUCUCCGCGUGAACCCCGCUCGCCGUUAACGAUCGCCACGCCUCCUCCGCCCUCACGGCAGUCGCGUUCGUUUAUCAGAGACAAGAAAAUAACAAUUUUUUCGUGGUUUCCGUUUCUGUUAACUGUUUUUCUGUUUUCAUAUUUUUUCCACUUUUUUGUUCUGUUCUUCGCCAAUAUUUUUGAUAUUUCUGUCAACCGAAAGUUUUUCGAGUGUUUUCCAAAAAAAACCUUAAUUUAAGGCUUAACAGCAACCUCUAGAAGUUAACAGACCAGCUAACAGUCAACUAGCCAUGACACAAACCAGAAAUAGGAAACCCCCGAAGACUCUGCCGCUGCUGCUCCUGCUGAUCCUGCCCCUGGCCAGCAGGACAGUGGGCGUGGCGCUAUCCAACACCAACAGUGCCCAGGCCGCUCAGCGCUUCUUCUACGCCUCCGGGCCAGCAUCAGGAUCGGGAUCUGCCGCCGCCGAGUCCACACAGACGAAGGUGCGUCUUCUGCGGCAGGUGGACGGAGCUGCUGCGCCGGCGGAAGAGGGCAGCUGUUGCCAGGGGGCCAGCUCUACCCCCUCGGACUCUUCGCUGCUGCCGCUGGAGGGAGUCUCCAGCUCGGAGCUGGGCAACGUCACUGCUGUGGACUACGAUGUCUCCGGGGAAGCCUCCUCCAAGGAAAAUGUGAAGCGUCAUGUCCCCAGAGCUGCCAUCAGGUUCGCCAGUGCCGCGAGCUGCUCCCCCCAGCCGACGAUCGUGGAACUGAAGCCGCCGGGAGCCGAGAGCAGCAACUUCUUCUACACCCCGGCCUGCACCAGGGUGAACCGGUGCAGCGGCUGCUGCGGAUCGACGCUGAUAACCUGCCAGCCGACGGAAACCGAGAUCGUCCAGAUGCGCGUGUGGAGGGGGGACCGUAGUGGAGCCGAGCCCCGCCGCAAGGUGACCAUCGUGGAUGUGGAACAGCAUCUGGCGUGCCGCUGUGGCUGCCGGAUCAAGGAGGGCGACUGCAACGCCUACCAGUCGUAUCGGCAGGAGCUGUGCCGGUGCGAGUGCCACAACACGGACGCCAAGGACAAGUGCCUGGAGCAGCUGGACGUCAAGUACUGGGACGAUGCCAACUGCACCUGUGCGUGCCGCUACAACCUGAGCUGCACCACCGGCACCGUCUUCGAUGAGACGCAGUGCAAAUGCACCGACAUCAAAAAUGUCCAGUAUUACACAUAGAAACUACACUCCACACUUACCACUUACCACUUACUCUCGUUAAGAUCAAUUUUGUAAACGUUUUUAAGAACUCUUUUGAAACUUAAGCCAUUUGUGAUAUUGUUAAAGUAACAAUAACUAACUAGAACUAGUAACUAGAACUAGAGCCUAGGGAGUAGGAUGAAAUACGUAGCUUAUGUAGCUGAGUUGAGGCACAGAUUGUGAUCCGAUGGCACCCGUCGACGUGUUGGAUCGAAAACGCUUUAUUGUCCAGGCCAUAUCGGUGGAAACCGAUAACACCACCCUGUACAGUGUCUG
rnacentral:misc_RNA from 1 species